GGAGUUGCCAGAGAAGUCAUUCCUUCCGAGACGAGACAUGGAAUGGUUUUUCUUCUGUCCAAGGGAUCGUAAGUACCCAAAUGGCUCAAGAACAAAUCGGGCUACUAAAGCUGGCUACUGGAAAGCUACAGGUAAAGACAGGAAAGUUGUUUGUCAAUCUGCUGUGACUGGAUAUAGGAAGACACUAGUUUUCUAUUGCGGACGGGCUCCUUUAGGGGAUAGGACUGAUUGGGUAAUGCACGAGUAUCGUCUCUGUGACAAUGUUUCUCAAGGAC
rnacentral:misc_RNA from 1 species